rnacentral:lncRNA from 1 species
CCACCAACCCUCUGACAUUGUCGCACCUAGGGUCUCCUCCAUCCUCUGUCACAUCGACCAGCAGCUACCGACUCCCUCCACUUGCCCAAGUUGCGUCGUUUGCAGAAAAGGGAAAAAAAAGUAAAUAGAAUAGGAGAAAAUCAUGUAAAAAUGGCUAUAAAAAGUCAAGUGAAAGAUGGUAAAAGGGAUUAGCAAAAAAUAUAAUACAUAUACUAUAUUUCCGAACACAAAACAAGAGAUCUUUGCAACACCAAAGUAGAAGAACAAACCCCAAAUCGGAAAACUAAAAUAUCAAAAGUCAAAAAACGAGAAAUUGGAAGGUGAUUUCAUUUUUUUUAUUUUUCUUCUUUUGGCUCUUUUAAAAUCUAUUCCUUCUUUUCUUUUUUUCUUCUUCUUCGUUUCUCAUAUAUAUAUACAUAUUAUAAAAAAUACAAAAAAAUAUAAAAAAGUAUACCUUCGAAAUUUAGGCCAACGCGCGCGGUGGCCGGCGCCAGCGACGGUGGUGGCGUGCGGCGGCCCUCCUGGUCGGGAUCUGGGGCUUCUUAGAGAGAAGAGGAGAGCUUUCUCUCCUGUUUUUUU